UCCAACCGUAAGGAGGAGGGCGCCUAAGGCAGGGCUGGUGACUGGGGUGAAGUCGUAACAAGGUAGCCGUACCGGAAGGUGCGGCUGGAUCACCUCCUUUUUAGGGAGACCUACCCAACACGAGUUGCUCGCGCAGCGAGUGUCAGGUCAACCGAGGUCGGUCGAGGCGAGAUGUGUGGCUUUCAAACUCUGGUUUGGUUAAGAGGAGCGAAACCGAGCAAGGGCUAUUAGCUCAGGUGGUUAGAGCGCACCCCUGAUAAGGGUGAGGUCCCUGGUUCGAGUCCAGGAUGGCCCACCUAAAGAAGUGAAAGUGGGUGCAACGAGCUGCUUGAAGGUGGCGACUUGACGGGAGAGAUGCUAGACUAGAAAAGGUGCGAAAAAUUCAGCAAGCGGUACCCAAGCCAAACUGCUGGAGAAUCGCCAGCCAGAACCUUGAAAACUGCAUAAUCAUGCCAAAGAAAUAGCAGGUAGGAUGUAACGGUGCCGCAGUGGCGCCAAAGUUACAAAACCGAAAUAAGCCAAUAAGACAACUAACUGAAGAAAAGGAAGUGGUCAAGCUACAGAAGGCUGAUGGUG
rnacentral:misc_RNA from 1 species